GUAGAGCUGGGCGGGAGGAGUCCAGGAGGCGGGAGCUGCCGCGGUCUGGUAGCCCGCAUCUCUGGAUCCCCGCAGCCUGCA
ensembl:miRNA Mir3584 microRNA 3584